CUCAAUGUCCUUACCAGAGAUACUAAUCCCCAACUUAUUUAACUGAUUUCAGGACCAAAAAUGGACUGCCACAGCCUCUGUGGCUGAAGGGUUAACCCCGCCUCCCUCCUCCUCUUCCUCCUCCUGCUGGAUUCCUCAGACAAGAAUGCUAGGAACAAGCCUCUUUGUGCUUGGAGCAUCUCUGGGGGACUUUGCAUGUCUUCAAUCCUUGAAAGGAACUCUUCAUGUCAAGGCAGUCUGCAGAGCUCCUAAGGCAAAGACGCUAAUCAGAGAUCAUCUACAAAACAGGAAAGCUUGGCUGUGAAGCACCUACUAAAAACACAAGCCACUGGAAGAUGACCUACAUUAUUGCACCGUAGGCUCCAGAGACAUUUCUCAGCCUGCAUCCUGGCACCAGAAUGCACACUCAAGUGUUCCGACUAAGACGAGCGGAAGACGGCAGUGUUGAGCACAGCGGUGGUGGCGGCGGUGGUGGUGGUGGAUUAGCGCUCCUGGAGGACCUAGCCGCCUUUUGAUAUGUGGCACAACUCACGAAGAAACACACACACUCGUGGGGAAUGUUAAACGGCUGACAUCUCUAGCCUCCUCCCUGCUGCUGACCUCAUGCUUCACGCUCCCAUGACAAAGUAGCUUGUCACUAGGGUGGUACCCGUACUGACUGGGAGCAUGCAGUACAGCCUCAAGUACUCAAAAUUAUUCCCUGUUUGAGAAGUACUCCGGUUACAGCUGUACUUUCAGCAACGCUGUGCCACUCCUGAAAGUCAUUUGGCCAUAAUGACUGUAAAUAUUCUGAAACUGUGUGUACCUGCUGGAGACCCUCUGUGAUGGAGGUGACAGGUGACA